GAUGAACGCUGGCGGCGUGCCUAAUACAUGCAAGUCGAGCGGACGGACCAUAAGCUUGCGUCUCUGAUGUUAGCGGCGGACGUGUGAGUAACACGUGUAUCACCUACCUAUAAGUCGGGUAUAACUUCGAGAAUCCGGAGCUUACACCGUAUAAUAUUCUGAACCGCAGUGGGCAAAGGUGAAUGACGGUCUUUCUGUCACUUCUAGAGGGAUCCGCGCUGCAUUAGCUAGUUGGUAAGGUAACGGCUUACCAAGGCAACGAUGCAUAGCCGACCUGAGAGGGUUAUCGGCCACCCUGGAAGUGAGACAGGGUCCAGAGGCCUACGGAAGGGAGCAGUAGCGAAGCUUACGCAGUGGGCGAGAGCAUGACGGAGUGAGGGGGAGUGAGUGGUGACAGUCCUGGGAUCGUGAAGAUCUGUUAUGAGGGAAGAACAUAUGUGUAAGUAAAUGUGGAGAUAUUGACGGUACUUGGUAAGAAAGCACCGGCUAACUACGUG
rnacentral:rRNA from 1 species